AUGAAAAGUACAUACGUACUUUGGAUUUUAAUAAUUUGCUAGAAUAUCUUUAGGCAACUAUUAUCUCCAUCGCACAAAUAUUAUCUCUAACGCCCAAAUACAUGGUGCAUGCCUGCAUCAAGUGUGUUAUGUCCAGUGGGGUUAUGAAAUUUUGACUAACUGCACAAAUAUCUGUCCAAGUCCUCUAUUAAUAUAGAUAAGGGAAACCCCCUUGGUAUCCAAACACUCCUCGACAAGAAUGGGUUCCAACAAGGCUUUUCUUUUAUUUGCUCUUGUUCUUCUCAUCAUCUCCUCUGAGGUAGCAGCACGAGACCUCCUCGACCACAGUUCUACUCAUGCCAAUAUGAAAGAGAAUGGUGUUUAUGAAAGAAAGGCUGCUAGUAGGGCUUUCCAGCCCGUUUUGAGUCCUGAUAAACCUAGAUAUCCGCCUCAUCCAUGCUCCCGAUAUAUAAGAAAGUGUCCCGGAAAAGCACCACCACCGCCAUGAUAUAGAAGAAACUGUCAUCAGCCAUGAAAGAAGCUGCGCUCAUCUCUUCAGAUCAUGAUCAACAACUAAUAAUUAUAGGCCGAUCGAUGCUUGAAGUUAUUGAUUCCUCUCUUUUGUUGCUUCCCUUACAUAGAACAUGCACUACGUACGUACGUGCUGUAACUUUCAUCGAAUAAACGCUCGAUAUAUGUAAGCCUCUCCAAAUCUCUGAUCUGGAGGCUCUGGCCGUGCUAAUAUUUCUGUAAAGUCGCAUGGUAAAGCAUUAGUGUUCAUGUUCUUUCCAUUCACAAUAAUAAAUAAGAUCUUGUUCAAGUAAA